UACGUAGGGGGCUAGCGUUAUCCGGAAUUACUGGGCGUAAAGGGUGCGUAGGUGGUUUCUUAAGUCAGAGGUGAAAGGCUACGGCUCAACCGUAGUAAGCCUUUGAAACUGGGAAACUUGAGUGCUGUAGGGGAGACUGGAAUUCCUGGUGUAGCGGUGAAAUGCGCAGAUAUCAGGAGGAACACCAAUGGCGAAGGCAGGUCUCUGGGCAGUUACUGACGCUGAGGAGCGAAAGCGUGGGGAGCAAACAGGAUUAGAUACCCGCGUAGUCCCUGA
rnacentral:rRNA from 1 species